GGUGUACCUAUAUAAUAAAUACGGCUACAAAAUAAACACAAGAUGGAAAUGUUUGUCUUGAUCAUAAAAAAAAAAUUUGUCAAAAUAGGUGCAAUUUGGGUACUGUCAUAUUAUGAAAUGCAAUCUUUAUAAGUAUUUUGUUAAAUGUAAAUAAAGUAUUUAAAUAAUGUUAUGACCAUGAUGUCUAACUUCCUCUGAAGUUAUAAACCAUGACAACUAACUUCAUCGGAUGUUGAAACUAUGACACCUUAUCUCAUCAGGAGUUUAAACUAUGAUGCCUUACUUCAUCAGGAGUUAAAUUUAUGAUGCCUUAUUUCACCAGAAAUUAAAACCAUGACACAUAACUUCAUUAGGUGUUAACACCAUAAUGCCUUACUCAAUUGGGAGUUAAAACUAUUUCAUUUAACUUCAUCACAUAUUAUAACCAUGGUAUAUUAUAUUCAUCAGUGAAUAUAUUGCUAGCUGAUGUAAUUUAAAAAGUUACUGGGGAGCAUGGAACAACUUAUAGUUUGUCUCUUCUCAACCCCACUGUCUUCCACCUUCAGUUCUUCUACAAAAACUACACUCAAACAAAUGAAUUAAUUUGAACUAAACUUGAUUUUGGCAGCACAACCUUAAAACAAUUAAAAUGGCCAAAAUCAUCAGUCUAUGCCAUAAAGGAUUUGAAUAACCAUUUUACAUUUAUAUGUGGGUUGUUUUAAAUGAUUGAAGAUAGAAAAACCUAGUUAAUAAAACAGCCAAACAACAAUGAUAAUAAUAUGACAGUUAUAGGAAUUAAAUCAUUAUGUUUUAACAAAUUCUGUGUUUUUAUGGCCAAAUUAUUGUAGAAAGAGAGAAGUUGAAAAAAUAUCAUCAGAUGAACAAGACUUACCAUAUGGCCUAAAUAGUCUGUACAUUCCAUAAACAAAUAAUGUCCUUAUAUGGCAAAUUUAUCCAUUCAUCUUUAUGUGUGUUAUUUUUAGGAAACUGCAUGAUUUUUACAAAAUGAGGGUUUUUUGUGUUUUUUAAAAGGUAUCUGAAUAUCACCACUUAACAAAUAAAUGUUAUAAGGUUGCUGCUAAAUCUGGUUCUGGGGUUAUUUUUAGCUCAGUGGAUCUGAAAAUUAUAUUAUUUUGGCUUGAAUGAUUUUGUUAGUAAACUUUAAUGUGAACACCCUGUGCCAUUCAUCAUAUUAUAAGUCAAGCUUGACUUAGUUGCAACAGGGCAAAACUAUUUUGGCCUAAGUUUAAUAGUACAUCAACAAUUUAUAAUCUGAAACUUGACUUUUUUAAAACCAUAUUUUUCACCAAAUAACCCUUAAUUAUUUGAAAAUGUUUAAGUCUUAUUGGCUUUGGGUGAAAAAGUUAUCCAACCAUUUGUCAUCAAAAUCAGUUUGACUAAAUGAAUAAAGAUCCUAACUCAGGAUUGUACAACUCUUUUUUAAAUAUUUGAAACAUCAGAAAAAGACACAAUGGCCAAAAUUAUCCACUACGAAAAUCAAUACUACAGAAUUUGUCCUUUUCAAGGUCAACUUUUAGUAAUCCAUUCUAAUGAAUAUUAUGCAUAUUUGAUGGUCUAGAUAUAAACUGAGACUGGUUUAUCUUGUGAUGACAUGUUAAAGAUGUAAUGAUUUAAAUUACAGUGAUACCUGGUUCUGUAAUAAACUUUAUUCAAGAAUAAAUAUAGCAACUUAUUGUUAGAUAAUUUAUAUUUGUUAUUGGUGUUUAAUUGUUGAACUGUAUUCAAUGAACACUAAGGGGAUUUAUUUUCUGGUUAUUUACAAAAGGUUGUUAUUAAAUUACCAUUCGAAUCAUUUUUUAGAGAAAUUUUAGACUUUGUACAAUUAUUCAGGGUAAAUAAUGGACAAUCAGCUAAAAACAUGGUUGUGGAAAGAAGCACUUAUAAAUACUCAUUAUGCUAUUUCUUGUCAAUUUUGGAGUCUGUUAAUUGUCAACAAACAUCAUUAGGACCAUAAGAGCAACCGUUCCUGAGCUAUUUGAAACUAUGCGAUUUACAAAAGAAGUGAAAAAAAUCAUCAUCCCUAGAUUUUGAUAUUAAGUUUUAAAUAACCAAAGUUUUAGUGUGUUUUUUUUAAUUUAAUAUUUACAUUGAGUUAUAUAUUAUUAAGAAUGCUGUGUUAUUGUUCAUAACCAAAAAAAGAGGCAUUUACUCCUCAAUAUUGAGUUCU
rnacentral:lncRNA from 1 species